UUUUUUUUGUAUUCGAUUGGUUGAAAAAAAAAAAAAACAAAAAUUGUUAACUCUCUGCUAACUUCAAGAUCAUAUUUCUUUAUGGAUCAAUUUUUAAAUAACCAAGUGAUCAACAUUUCAACAAAUAACUGAACAACAAAUUGAAUAAUAAAAAAAAAAAUUGAUAAUGACUCAACCCAAAAUAAUAAAUAAAAAAUAAUUAAUAAGUUCCAAGUACUCUAUAAUAAACUUGAGUAUUGAGUAAAGCCACAAAGUUGUUCAGAAACUAUUAGCUAGAUCCUGCUAAUAAGAAGAGCAUCUCACAUCCCGCUAGUGAAACAGUUAUGAUGAAUCUCCUCGGCACCACGAGCCAAAUGAAUAAAGUAAUCUGAUGAACAUAUAAAAAAUUUUUUUUACAAACAAGAAAGAUAUCAAUGAAUAAAAUACCAAUGGAAUAAUUGAGCGAGCAAAAAAUAAUAACAACUGAAAAUUAUAUAAACCAAUGAAGCAGAUCAGUUGUGAGAGCGUCGGUCAGAAGUUUUUGUCCUUAAAUUAUAUUUAAACAGUUUGUUUUUAUUGAAAAACUCAUAUUUAAUUUUAGUACUCUGGUGUAUUAAAGAAAUAAGUCGUCCCGUUAAUUUGAAUCCGCAUACCGAGUGCAUUAACCAGUCCCAGCGAUAGCUUGUGAACAUCUGGUUAAUGUCCAGAUGAUUGUAAAUAUUUAAGCUACUAGUUAACAAUAAACUUAGUAAAGAAUAUAAUAUAUUGUAGGUAAUGAUAAAAAUUAUUUACUUAAAUUUUUCCUAGUGGCUACAAUGACUUUUUAAAAUUAACGACGAGCACACUGACAGGAAAUGAGUUUUUUAUAUGUAAUCAUUAUUUUAUAUUGACCAAACAGCACCCACGUGUUAACAAGGACGAAUUUUCUCUUUUUUAUCACUUAUAAUUUAUCUUAAUACUUUAAAUAUUUUAUUUUAUUAAUCGAAUUAAAUUUUACUUUUUUUUUUCAACUUUCUUGUCUUUUAUA